GGGGAAUAUUGCGCAAUGGGGGAAACCCUGACGCAGCGACGCCGUGUGAGGGAAGAAGGCUUUCGGGUCGUAAACCUCUGUCGGGAAGGAAGAACCCCCCAGGUCCGAAUAGGGCCUGGGGCUGACGGUACUUCCAAAGGAAGCACCGGCUAACUCCGUGCCAGCAGCCGCGGUAAUACGGAGGGUGCAAGCGUUAAUCGGAAUCACUGGGCGUAAAGCGCGCGUAGGCGGCUUUUUAAGUCGGACGUGAAAGCCCUCGGCUCAACCGUGAAAUGGCAGUUGAAACUGGUCGUCGCGAGUGCAGUAAAGGUGGGCGGAAUUCGUGGUGUAGCGGUGAAAUGCUUAGAUAUCACGAAGAACUCCAAUUGCGAAGGCAGCUCACUGGAGUGUAACUGACGCUGAUGCUCGAAAGUGUGGGUAUCAAACA
rnacentral:rRNA from 1 species